GCUGGGCAUGGUGGCGCACGCCUGUAAUCCCAGCAGCUCCAGAGGUUGAGGCAGGAGGAUUGCGAGUUCAAAGCCAGCUUCAGCAAAAGCGAGGUGCUAAGCAACUCAGUGAGACCCUGUCUCUA
rnacentral:sRNA from 1 species